CAUCUACAAUCAGUUGAUGCUUGCUGUUAUAUGAUUCUUGGAGAGCUGUGUGCUGCACCUUGUGGUCUCAGAGCAUUAGUUGAUUUCAUUGAAUCCAAGUUUCAUCCCUACUAAGGUCAAACAAAAGAAUUUGACAUACAAUGCAACUUACUGUUGAAUUUCUCUGGGAAAUAACAUAAGUUGAAUAGCCUUAUGCAUGGCUGCUGUUGAUGGCACAAUUGUUGCUUGCAGAAAAGCUAGGCAGCUUUUUAGAGGCCAAAUUGGGAAUUUUGAGGCGGCAUGGUGAGAUUUCUGUGGAGCGCAGAAUACAAAUUCAAAUCAAGCUGUGGAUGCUGGACAAGCCAUAUAAGCUUAUAAGUAUUAGCAGAUACAUAUGUGCAUGUAUCGAAGUCUAAACGUUAAGCCUGAAUUUGUUGAAGAGGAGAUCAUUUGUGGUACGGUUACCUCGGUUAUGAAAUAUGUAUGAAUUGGACGGUGUAAUCACACGAUGUUGACCUAUAAAUGUUUGUAUGUACAAAAACUAAAAUAUUAAUGCAUGUGAAUUGUGAAGUGAAGUUUUUCCAUAUAAAGGUUCAAGGGACCGCUACUAGUAUGUGUGAGAUCUGGACUGGGAUAUUUUUGGGGUUAG